CUCAUACCUGGAGCGGUGUUUUAUCCCUGCGUGAGUGAGGAGCUCCCCAGCUACUCCAGGCUUAACAUCUCAGCCCUGGAAGGGACUGUUUGAAGUCCUGUCCCUGCUGGAUGCUCCAGGAGCUCAGAGCUGGAGCCAGGGUUUGACAGACCUCAUGUCUCUUAGUGCUUAGUGCAGCUAUGAGCACCAAGAUCUCCUUCAUCAUUCAAGAGGCUCAGCCUCACACCUGUAAUGGUUCCCUGUACUCCUUUGUACUAAAGUGUUAAGAGUUUUGCAUUUUCCCUCUCUUAUCUACACUUUCCUUGGGCAUUGUGUGGUACCUAGAUGAAAGAGAGAGACUUUUUUCAAUGUUUAACUUUGAGGGUACUAUAUCUGAUGGGCAAAAGUCAGGGUCACGUGUAGCAACUGAUAUUUAAAGACGAUCUAAAAUAUCUAGGGAAUCCCACCUCUCUUCUACAGUGGGCUUUCAAUGCAUUUGUGCUCUGGAGUUUUAUUAAAACAGCAUAACCUCAGAAAGAAAUCUUGGUGACUGAAAUAAUGAGAAUAGGUGGUGCAAACAGAAUGCAAGCACUCAGACACUGAAGUUCUCUACAGCUGCAGUUUUAUUUGUCUUGUGCAAACAGUAGAAAAUUGAGGCAGAAAAAUGGCAUAUGAAGUAACCCCACAUGAGGCUGCAAGUUGUUGAUACACAUCACUGGAGGUUCUGGUUGGCUGGAGAGCUGAAGAGAAAAAUUCCAAGGCAGAGGUGAAAGGAAUCAUGCAAGUAUUCUUACAUUUACCGGAGUAAGAAAUGAGAUAAUGUUUGCAUCCUGGGCUUUCUUGUUACAAAAUUCUCUUCUAAAGCCCCUACUUGUGUUUAGUCUGUGGUGGCCAGGAGAUAGGCUGGGUCUGCUGCUGCAUGGACAUGCCUCCAGAGCCAGAUGAACUACCUCCACCAGAGCCUCCUCCAAUAAUGCAGAUGGAUCCUUGGCCCUGGUGACCAGAACCACCCCCACCUCCUCCACCACCUCCUCCUCCAAUGCAGAUGGGUCCUUGGCUCUGGUAGCCAGAACCACCUCCUCCUCCUCCUCCUCCGCCUCCAAUGCAGAUGGGUCCUUGGCUCUGGUGACUAGAACCACCUCCACCUCCUCCUCCAAUGCAGAUGGGUCCUUGGCCCUGGUAGCCAGAACCACCUCCUCCUCCUCCUCCACCACCUCCAAUGCAGAUGGGCCCUUGGCUCUGGUGGCCAGAACCACCUCCUCCACCACCUCCUCCUCCAAUGCAGAUGGGUCCUUGGCCCUGGUAGCCAGAACCACCUCCUCCUCCUCCUCCUCCACCUCCAAUGCAGAUGGGUCCUUGGCUCUGGUGGCCAGAGCCACCUCCUCCUCCGCCUCCUCCUCCUCCUCCAAUGCAGAUGGGACCCUGGCUUUGAUGGGUCCUUGGCCCUGGUGGCCAGAACUACCACCACCACCUCCUCCUCCUCCACCUCCGCCAAUGCAUAUGGGACCCUGGCUUUGGUGGCCAGAACCACCUCCACCUCCUCCUCCUCCACCUCCACCAAUGCAGAUUGGUCCUUGGCCCUGAUGGCUGGAACCACCUUCACCUUUUCCUCCUCCACCACCUCCAAUGCAGAUGGGUCCUUGGCCCUGAUGGCUGGAACCACCUCCGCCUCCUCCUCCUCCACCUCCUCCAAUGCAGAUGGGUCCUUGGCCCUGAUGGCUGGAACCACCUCCGCCUCCUCCUCCUCCACCUCCUCCAAUGCAGAUGGGUCCUUGGCCCUGAUGGCUGGAACCACCUCCGCCUCCUCCUCCUCCACCUCCUCCAAUGCAGAUGGGUCCUUGGCCCUGAUGGCUGGAACCACCUUCACCUUUUCCUCCUCCACCUCCACUGAUGCAGAUGGGUAUUUUGCUCUGGUGGCCAGAACCACCUCCUCCUCCUCCACCACCACCUCCACCGAUGCAGAUGGGUCCUUGGCUCUGGUGGUCAGAGCCACCACCUCCUCCUCCACCUCCACCGAUGCAGAUGGGUCCUUGGCUCUGGUGGUCAGAGCCACCACCUCCUCCUCCACCUCCACCGAUGCAGAUGGGUCCUUGGCUCUGGUGGCUGGAACCACCUCCACCACCACUGCUGCCGCCUCCUCCUCCAAUAAUGCAGAUGGGUUCUUGUCCCUGGUGGCCUGAACUUCCUCCUCCUCCUCCUCCUCCUCCUCCAAAGGAGGACGAUGAUAUGUGGGUCUGGUAGAUAGCACCACCACCACCGCUGCUUCCUCCACCAUGGCAGGACGAUCCUUGGCUCUGAUAUCCUAUAGAUCCUCCACCGCCACUACUGUGGCAGGAUCCUCCUCCACCACCCCCAUGGCAUGAGCUUCCUCCACUGCCACCACCAUGGCAUCCACCGGACUGCUCAGAGAUUCCUUGGCCUUCGCCCUUCUGCUGGUGGGAACCCAUCGUCACAGGAGCCAAAAGCCCUGCAAGAGAAAGAAAAAUGAGCACUAGAAGAUGAAGAAGAAGGAAAGCUUGCAUUACUGUGGCAUUACUGCCUCUUCCUUUCCCCCUCCCCUUCCCUAGGCAGGCUGAUACGAGAAAAUGCGAAAGGGUAUUGUCGACCUGAGGAACUUACAGCUCCAAAGCAAUUACCAAG
rnacentral:lncRNA from 1 species